GUGCUCGCUUCGGCAGCACAUAUACUAAAAAAUUGGAACGAUACAGAGAAGAUUAGCAUAGACCCUGCGCAAGGAUGACACGCAAAUUCGUGAAGCGCUCCAGGUUUAA
rnacentral:snRNA from 1 species